rnacentral:tRNA from 1 species
GAAGGCAUAGUUCAGUGGUAGAGUGCAUGCCUAGCAUGCAUGAGGUCCUGGAUUCAACUCCCAGCACCUCCA